rnacentral:rRNA from 1 species
UACGAAGGGGGCUAGCGUUGUUCGGAUUUACUGGGCGUAAAGGGCGCGUAGGCGGCCACCGCAAGUCGAUUGUGAAAUCUCCGGGCUUAACCCGGAAAGGUCAACCGAUACUGCGGGGCUAGAGUGCGGAAGGGGCAACUGGAAUUCUUGGUGUAGCGGUGAAAUGCGUAGAUAUCAAGAGGAACACCUGCGGCGAAGGCGGGUUGCUGGGCCGACACUGACGCUGAAGCGCGAAAGCUAGGGGAGCGAACGGG